CAGAUCAUGAUGAACCUAUCAUGGAGAAAAAUCUGCCCAGUAAUGAUGAGCCUUCGAAGUUGGUAGACUGACAGAAAAAACAACAUCAUCACAUGAUCAGAGAAAAAGAAAACCAGAAAUAGAGUAAUGAUGAAACUUCUUAGUUCUCAGCAUGGUCAAAACACAUCAUGAUUACGCCAAUCUGCAUAUAACCCUAAAGACUAAAAUGAAAAAACCC